GCUAGUCGAGCGUCUCCAAGCUAUGGAAGAGACGCGGCACACAGCUCAGUAACACGUGGCUAACCUGCCCUUGGGACAAGGACAACUCCGGGAAACUGGGGCUAAUCCCUGAUAAGUGAGAACUCCUGGAAUGGAUUCUCGCUCAAAGGACGUUUAGACCAUGCUUCUAGGCGUCGCCCAAGGAGGGGGCCGCGACCGAUCAGGUUGUUGGUGAGGUAACGGCUCACCAAGCCUUUAACCGGUACGGGCCGUGAGAGCGGAAGCCCGGAGAUGGGCACUGAGACAAGGGCCCAGGCCCUACGGGGCGCAGCAGUCGCGAAAACUCCGCAAUACACGAAAGUGUGACGGGGCCAUCCCGAGUGCCAUCCGCUGAGGAUGGCUUUUCCCCAGUGUAUAAAGCUGGGGGAAUAAGGAGAGGGCAAGCCUGGUGUCAGCCGCCGCGGUAAUACCAGCUCUCCGAGUGGUGGGGAUGUUUAUUGGGCCUAAAGCAUUCGUAGCCUGCUUGGCAAGUCCUCCGUUAAAUCCAACGAUUCAAUCGUUGGGCUGCGGGGGAUACUGUCCAGCUAGGGGGCGGGAGAGGCCGACGGUAUCCCCGGGGUAGGGGUGAAAUCCUAUAAUCCCGGGAGGACCACCAGUGGCGAAGGCUGUCGGCUAGAACGUGCUCGACGGUGAGGGAUGAAAGCUGGGGGAGCGAACCGGAUUAGAUACCCGGGUAGUCCCAGCUGUAAACGAUGCAGGCUAGGUGUUGGCGCGGCUACGUGCCGCUCCAGUG
rnacentral:rRNA from 1 species